rnacentral:rRNA from 1 species
UACGUAGGGGGCUAGCGUUGUCCUGAUUUAUUGGGCGUAAAGAGCGUGUAGGCGGCCAUGUAGGUCCGGUGUGAAAACUCGAGGCUUAACCUCGAGAUGUCAUCGGAAACCAUUUGGCUAGAGUCCGGAAGAGGAGAGUGGAAUUCCUGGUGUAGCGGUGAAAUGCGUAGAUAUCUGGAGGAACACCGGUGGCGAAGGCGGCAUCCUGGACCGGUAUUGACGCUGAGGCGCGAAAGCCAGGGGAGCAAACGGG